rnacentral:SRP_RNA from 1 species
AGCCAGGCCUUACAACGGAAGCUUGCGAACCCCGCCAGGCCCGGAAGGGAGCAACGGUAAGCAAAUACUUCCGUGUGUAAGUGCUUGGCUAUC